UACGGAGGGCGCGAGCGUUACCCCGGAUUCACUGGGCGUAAAGGGCGUGUAGGCGGCCUGGGGCGUCCCAUGUGAAAGACCACGGCUCAACCGUGGGGGAGCGUGGGAUACGCUCAGGCUAGACGGUGGGAGAGGGUGGUGGAAUUCCCGGAGUAGCGGUGAAAUGCGCAGAUACCGGGAGGAACGCCGAUGGCGAAGGCAGCCACCUGGUCCACCCGUGACGCUGAGGCGCGAAAGCGUGGGGAGCAAACCGGAUUAGAAACCCG
rnacentral:rRNA from 1 species